UGUGUAGGCGGACUGGCAUGCGUCUUGUGAAAUCCCCCGGCUCAACCGGGGAAUUGCUGGACGAACUACCAGCCUUGAGGCAAGUAGGGGUGCGCGGAACUCUUGGUGGAGCGGUGGAAUGCGUAGAUAUCAAGAGGAACGCCGGCGGUGAAGACGGCGCACUAGGCUUGCCCUGACGCUGAGACACGAAAGCGUGGGGAGCAAACAGGAUUAGAUACCCUGGUAGUCCACGCCCUAAACUAUGUCUACUAGGUUGCGGACGUUCUGACACGUCCGGAGCCGAAGCAAAAGUGUUUAGUAGACCGCCUGGGGAGUACGGUCGCAAGGCUAAA
rnacentral:rRNA from 1 species